ensembl:lncRNA
CCAGGUACACUAACCUCUGACCUAAAAAAAUACGCCCUUAACCCAGGUACACUAACCUCUACCCAUACCCCUACCCGGACACCUAACCUCUACCCAGGUACACUAACUCUACCCAGGUACACUAAACCUCUACCCAGGUACACUAACCUCUACCCAGGUACACUACCUCUACAUCCUCUACCCAGGAACACUAUCCUCUACCAGGAACACACUCCUCUACUAUCCUACUCACCAGGUACACUAUCCUCUACCCAGGUACACUAUCCUCUACCAGGUACACUAUCCUCUACCAGGAACACUAUCCUCUACCAGGAACACACUCCUCUACUAUCCUCUACCAGGUACACUAUCCUCUACCCAGGUACACUAUCCUCUACCAGGUACACUAUCCUCUACCAGGAACACUAUCCUCUACCAGGAACACACUCCUCUCUAUCCAUCCCAGGUAACUAUCCUCUACCCAGGUACACUUAUCCUCUACCCAGGUACACUAUCCUCUACCAGGUACACUAUCCUCUACCCCAGGUACACUACUACCUCUACCCAGGUACACUAUCCUCUACCAGGUACAUAUCCUCUACUACCUCUACCAGGAACUAUCCUCUACCAUCCUCUACCAGGAACACUAUCCCUACCAUCCUCUACCCAGGUACACUAUCCUCUACCCAGGAACACUACCCUACAGGUACAACAUCCUCUACUAUCCUCUACCCAGGAACACUAUCCUCUAACCAUCCUCUACCCAGGAACACUAUCCCUACAGGUACACAUCCUCUACCAGGUACACUAUCCUCUACCAGGAACACAACCUCUACCAGGAACACUAUCCUACAAACACUAUCCUCUACCAGGAACACUAUCCUCUACCAACACUAUCCUCUACCAGGAACACUAUCCUCCUCCUCACACAGUGAGACACACACACCCCCCAUGUUCUCCCACACAGUGAGACCCCCCCCCCAUGUUCCUCACACAGUGAGACACACACACCAUCCCCCUGUUCCUCACACAGUGAGACCACACACACACCCCCCCAGGUUCCUCACACAUGAGACACACACAAACACACACACCCCCCAUGUUCCUCACACAGUGAGACACACACCACACACCCCCCAUGUUCCUCACACAAUGAGACCCCUCCCCAGUUCCUCACACAGUGAGUCCCCCCCCCAUGUUCCUCACACAGUGGACACACCCCCCCCAUGUUCCUCACACGUGAGACACACACACCUCCCAUGUUCCUCACACAGUGAGACACACACCCUCCAUGUCCUCACACAGUGAGACACACCCCCCCCAUGUUCCUCACACAGUGAGACACACACACACACACACACACCCCCCAUGUCCUCUCACACAAUGAGACCCCUCCCCAUGUUCCUCACACAGUGAGCCCCCCCCCCCUGUUCCCACACAGUGAGACACACCCCCCCCCAUGUUCCUCACACACCUCCCAUGUUCCUCACACGUGAGACACACACACCCUCCAUGUUCCUCACACAGUGAGACACACCCCCCCAUGUUUCCUCACACAGUGAGACACACCCCCCCAUGUUCCUCACACUGAGACAACCACACACACCCCCCCAUGUUCCUCACACAGUGACACAACACAACACACC